rnacentral:rRNA from 1 species
GUUAUAGGAUCAAGCGACUAAGUGCAUAUGGUGGAUGCCUUGGCGAUCACAGGCGAUGAAGGACGUAGUAGCCUGCGAAAAGCUGCGGGGAGCUGGCAAACAAGCUUUGAUCCGCAGAUAUCCGAAUGGGGAAACCCACUCCGUAAGGAGUAUCCCUGACUGAAUACAUAGGUCAGUGGAAGCGAACCGGGUGAACUGAAACAUCUCAGUAGCUCGAGGAAAAGAAAUCAACCGAGAUUCCGAAAGUAGUGGCGAGCGAAAUCGGAAGAGCCUUCACGUUUUAGCAUGCAAGAUAGUCGAACGGAAUGGAAAGUCCGGCCGUAGCAGGUGAUAGCCCUGUAGACGAAAUUUUGUGUGUGGAACUAAGCGUGAGAAAAGUAGGGCGGGACACGUGAAAUCCUGUUUGAAGAUGGGGGGACCAUCCUCCAAGGCUAAAUACUCGUGAUCGACCGAUAGUGAACCAGUACCGUGAGGGAAAGGCGAAAAGAACCCCGGAAGGGGAGUGAAAUAGAUCCUGAAACCGUAUGCAUACAAACAGUAGGAGC